GACACUACAUCCUGGUCCUUUCUGGGCACU
rnacentral:piRNA from 1 species